GACGUAGGGGGCGAGCGUUGUCCGGAUUUAUUGGGCGUAAAGGGCGGGUAGGCGGCCUGGCAGGUGUGGGGUGAAAUCUCCCGGCUCAACUGGGAGGGGGCCUUGCAAACCGCCGGGCUGGAGGACGGUAGGGGCGCGCGGAAUUCCCGGUGUAGUGGUGAAAUGCGUAGAGCUCGGGAGGAACACCGGUGGCGAAGGCGGCGCGCUGGGCCGAUCCUGACGCUGAACCGCGAAAGCGUGGGGAGCGAACUGG
rnacentral:rRNA from 1 species